rnacentral:rRNA from 1 species
UACGGAAGGGGCUAGCGUUGUUCGGAAUUACUGGGCGUAAAGAGCGCGUAGGCGGCUUGCCAAGUUGGGGGUGAAAUCCCGGAGCUCAACUCCGGAACUGCCUUCAAAACUGGCAAGCUCGAGUCCGGAAGAGGGGCGUGGAAUUCCCAGUGUAGAGGUGAAAUUCGUAGAGAUUGGGAAGAACACCGGUGGCGAAGGCGGCGCCCUGGUCCGGUACUGACGCUGAGGCGCGAAAGCGUGGGGAGCAAACAGG